rnacentral:sRNA from 1 species
UGCUAUGCCGAUUCGGGCGGGGUUCGAACCUGUAGCAGGUCGAGUCGAGCGUAGCGAGACAACGUUGCCAGCGGCAACGGCCCGCAGGGCGAGGCGCAGCCGAAGUCAUCCUGCACGACCCACCA